CAAUCUGUUUGUGGGUGUCUAGAAACUUCUAUCGGUCACUCGAAACUUUCCACGUGACUACUUAUUUCGGGAUUUCAUUCUUCUACGCGUCGUUGCUCCGUGAAGAAAAAGUGCUCGAAAAAGUUUUUUUUACCUGGCCGAAAAAGGUGAAUAUCACAAGAAAACAACAUGUCAUCCGCAAGAAGUUAUGGACAUAGGUCAAAACAUGGCCCAACCCUGACAACAUUCCCCUAUAUGACCUAAUAAAUUGAACUGGAUAGGCAAGAAAAGAGAUAAAUUCUAAUUCCUUUUUUUUUCUUCUCAAUUUAAUUGUUUUUGUUGCCGAACGCCAAAGUAAGCAUGAAGACAAUGAUGAGUGGUCAAAACAUUUAAGCAAUUUGAUUGCCGAACAAAAUAUGGACUGUGUUGAUUGAGUUUAUUUUUACGUAUAUAGUAAGUGCGCUGAUCUAUUGCCGCAUAGGAAAACUAGAUUUUUGAAUGAAAUUGGAUUUAGGAUAAUCUUGCUACAAAAAUAAACUCAAUUAAAAGUAGCGAUGUACAUUCAAUGGUAAAAUACAUAGGAAGACAACAGGGUUUGGCCGAUGAUUUGGUACUUUCUAUAUUCUUUGUUAAGACCACCUAAGCUUUAUUGAUUUUCCCUUUAUUUAUUUUUUUAUAUUCCUAUGGCAGCUAUAAAUUAUGGUCGUCUGGGCCAAAUACGUUUGUUUUUGGAAACUAAUCAAUUGCACAUCGGCUUGCCGUUAUCGACUCCCCUGGUGAUGCGGAUCGAGAAUGUAUAUACUUUAUAGGGUCAUAAAUGUCGCUUUCAUUGCACUGCAAACACCUGCUUGAAAACAUAGAAAUAUCUGCAAGGUUAAAAUGUAUUAAAGCCACCGGAUUCAUUUAAAAAUCUCAUAUUUCAUUGUAUUGCGGUUACGUUCAUUCAUUUCUCUACCUUUGGAAUCUUUCCAUCUUUCCGGAAACUCUAUACAUUUUCUCUAGAAUGUAAGCGGUUAACACUUAAGCCAAGAGUGUCAUAACUCGCAUCUUUGUGGCUGACAGACCCUUGGAUUUGGCUUAAACAACUUUGAGCCAGAAGGGCGACAAACAACAAAAUUACCUUCAGGUAAUCAGCGGCAGUUUAUGUUUGUUCGGUCCACUAAACUUUUACGACCGUUCCACUUAUCUGGCUGAAUUUGUCUACCGGCCGCACAGAAAAUGACUUUCGCUCCGUCUUAAUGACAGCUGGCCUGAUAGCAGGAUCUGGCCUAAAGCCGGGAUAAUUUCAGCAUGUCCUUUAUGUCUCAUUAAAACUUUACGCACAUCAGCACCGGAGGUAGCAAAAACUUAAUAGUUUAAUUUCCCGACAAGAAACCGAAGACCCAAAAAACGCAAAUGAAAAAAAGGCUGGGAUCCCACACCCAAAAGGUAGAAACAAAAGGUAACCAAAACAAAGAGAAAUGGCAAACAUUUGGUUUUAGGUUUCUCGGCAAUAAAUCUUCUUUUUCUGCUGACAUGUGAGUAAUCAUGUGCGAGUUGGGGUUAGAUCCCAGAUAGAAAGGGAAAAUAUCGAGACUCGGAAAACAUGGGGGAGAUUAACCUUAAAGUUCAUUUCUCCAUUGACUCCAUAUUAAAUUUCUUCAAUGUGCAUUUUCUCAUUUUAAUUGCUACAAAAUUUGUUUUCUACGUGUUUUUUCUAUAGGAAAUACGAAGCCCGCCAAAACUUCAGGAAAACGUAUUUUUUUAAUUACGUAAUAAUUGCUUCGUUUUUUUCAAUUAUUAUGUUUCACUCGAAUCGAGCUUUUUAAUGGUUUCCGUUGACUCGUUUUUUUUUUUUACUCUUUUUUAAGUGAAUUAAAAUACAUAAAAAUAGGUUGUAAAUAUGUUUCAGUUUUUCCGUUUUUUUUUACGAUUGGUUGGCGCUUGGAGCUGUUUUAAUGAAUUUGUUUUUAGUUUAUUACUUACGUGUCUUUGUGCUUUAAAUAAUUUUAUAAUUCAAAUUGUUUAAUAUUUACGUUGAUACCGAACGAAAUUAUUUUCUCGA